rnacentral:rRNA from 1 species
UACGUAGGGUGCAAGCGUUGUCCGGAAUUAUUGGGCGUAAAGAGCUCGUAGGCGGUUCGUCACGUCGGCUGUGAAAUCCCGAGGCUCAACCUCGGGUCUGCAGUCGAUACGGGCGGACUGGAGUACUGCAGGGGAGACUGGAAUUCCUGGUGUAGCGGUGAAAUGCGCAGAUAUCAGGAGGAACACCGGUGGCGAAGGCGGGUCUCUGGGCAGUAACUGACGCUGGAGGAGCGAAAGCGUGGGGGAGCGAACAGG